GGUUGCUUUCGGCAACGGAGGAGCCUCAAUGCCUACACCAUUCCCAUCACCUUCCUCAAUUCAAAGACCUAAACUCGAAUAUCCUAAUAAACAUAUCCAAUUCCUUGUGAAUAGAUCGAAUCAAAACAGAACCUUGAAGAACCCAAUCACCCAUAAACUAAAAUUAAAUCAUACUCUCUCUGAAUAAAGCCCCAGGGGUUAGGGAUUUGAUUCCCCUAACCUUACUCGACAUACCGGUAACUCAUAUGAGUGAAUAAAUAAAUAAGAGUGGAGGUAACACACUAGAGUAAUGUCGGAGAUCAGGUGCUUGGAAAGGUUAAUUGAGUUGCUUUGAAGGGCUAUGAUGAGGUUGCCUUAACCUGCUGCAGGAUUGAUGUUUGGCUCGAUGGAUUACUGUAGAUGGUUGUAGGCCGGUGUUUGCAAUAAUUGUUGCUGUAGGGUGCUAGGUAUUAUGACAGGUCGUGGCUUGGCUGUUUUAGGCUCAUGUGAUAGGUUAUGUCAUGUGGUCAUUUUAUUUGUUGUGAUGGUAAUGUCUUGUAAUGUUUGGUGUUAAUUAUGCAUGGCAUUGUAAAUGGAAAUGGUUUGGAGUGUUUGGUUUUUUAAUAUUGAAUGGAUUUUAAUGGUUAUGCGGUCUA